rnacentral:ncRNA from 1 species
UAACACAAAGGUUUGGUCCUGCCUUUUUUAUUAGUUUUUAGUAAGUUUAUACAUGCAAGUAUCUGCCCCCAGUAAGAAUGCUGAUAGAAAGGAACUGGUAUCAAGCACACACCGAUGCAGCUCAUAAGGCCUUGUUCAAGCACACCCCUACAGGAUACAGCAGUAACAAAAAUUGAGCUAUUAAUGAAAGUUUAAGUUAUACUAAUAGAGGGCUGGUCAAUUUCAUGCCAGCCACCACGGUCAUACACGAUUAACCCAAAUUAAUAAACACCGGCAUAGACCAUGUAAGAUAAAAUAAAGUUAAAUCCUGUCUAAGCCAUAAAAAGCCAAAGAUUAGAUAAAAAUAACCCAUGAAAGUGACUUUAGUGGCUCUGAAUACACACUAGCUAAGACACAAACUGGGAUUAGAUACCCUACCAUGCUUAGCCCUAAACCUUAAUAACUAUUUACAAAGGUAUUCGCCAGAGGACUACUAGCAAAAGCUUAAAACUCAGAGGACUUGGCGGUGCUUUAUAUCCAUCUAGAGGAGCCUGCCCCAUAAUCGAUAAACCCCAAUAAACCUGACCACCACUUGCUAAUUCAGUCUACAUACCGCCAUCUUCAGCAAACCCUUAAAAGGCAUCAAGGUAAGCUCAAGAAUUGCCAUAAAAAAGUUAGGUCACGGUGUAGCCUAUGUGGUGGUUUAAGAUGGGCUACAUUUUCUCUUCAAGAUCCUAUUUAAGGAAUGUCAUUAUGAAAGGAAUGACUGAAGGAGGAUUUAGCAGUAAAUUAAGAAUAGAGAGCUUAAUUGAAUCAGGCCAUGAAGCACACACACGCCGCCGUUACCAUCUUCAAAUAUUUUUUAGCCAUUUAUUCAUAUUUAAACUUAAUCAGAUAUGAAAGAAAACAAGUCAUAAUAAGUUAAACAUACUAAAAAGUGUGCUUGGAUAACUUAAAGU